rnacentral:rRNA from 1 species
AUUGAACGCUGGCGGCAUGCCUUACACAUGCAAGUCGAACGGCAGCACGGGAGCAAUCCUGGUGGCGAGUGGCGAACGGGUGAGUAAUAUAUCGGAACGUGCCCGGUCGUGGGGGAUAACGUAGCGAAAGCUACGCUAAUACCGCAUACGAUCUACGGAUGAAAGCGGGGGAUCGCAAGACCUCGCGCGAUUGGAGCGGCCGAUAUCAGAUUAGGUAGUUGGUGAGGUAAAGGCUCACCAAGCCGACGAUCUGUAGCUGGUCUGAGAGGACGACCAGCCACACUGGGACUGAGACACGGCCCAGACUCCUACGGGAGGCAGCAGUGGGGAAUUUUGGACAAUGGGCGCAAGCCUGAUCCAGCAAUGCCGCGUGCAGGAUGAAGGCCUUGGUGUAAACUGCUUUGUACGGUAACGAAACGGUA